GACGAACGCUGGCGGCGUGCUUAACACAUGCAAGUCGAACGGAAAGGCCCUGCUUUUGUGGGGCGCUCGAGUGGCGAACGGGUGAGUAACACGUGAGUAACCUGCCCUUGACUUUGGGAUAACUUCAGGAAACUGGGGCUAAUACCGGAUAGGAGCUCCUGCUGCAUGGUGGGGGUUGGAAAGUUUCGGCGGUUGGGGAUGGACUCGCGGCUUAUCAGCUUGUUGGUGGGGUAGUGGCUUACCAAGGCUUUGACGGGUAGCCGGCCUGAGAGGGUGACCGGCCACAUUGGGACUGAGAUACGGCCCAGACUCCUACGGGAGGCAGCAGUGGGGAAUAUUGCACAAUGGGCGGAAGCCUGAUGCAGCAACGCCGCGUGCGGGAUGACGGCCUUCGGGUUGUAAACCGCUUUCGCCUGUGACGAGGCGUGAGUGACGGUAAUGGGUAAAGAAGCACCGGCUAACUACGUG
rnacentral:rRNA from 1 species